ACUAAUGAUAUGUACAUGGUAAAUGUGUAGCACCUACGGAAAAAUGUGGUAUUAUGUGGUAACAAACAAGACACAUACUGUACUUGGUAUACACGGUAUGCUUGUCAAGUCC